GAGUUCCAAAAAUAUCUUCCUCCUCAGACGGAGACGGAGGAGGGCGAGGAGGAGGCGAUCCAGACGGCCUUCCUUGGCUGGCUGCACACUCAGACUCACCAACCUUUGGCGUGCUUGACGCCACGAGCCGGCUCCGUCCUCCUACACGCCACUGACGACAAGUUGGAAUUUGCUGUGACAGUGCUGAGACCAGAACCAGAACCCGAGCGCGAUCCGCCAGACCAGCUGUUUCUGCUCUCACCUUCCGUUUUACAGAAGAAACACAUACAGGUAGUCCGAGACCCGGCGUCCGUACCAGCUGCUGAAGUGGACCCACCAAAACCAGAUCUUCCCUCUCUGGAUUCUCUCGGAGGUGUGGAGGAGCUGAGCA